AACCAGAUUAGAUACCUUGGUAGUCCACGCUGUAACAAUGUAUGCUAGUGUUGGCCUUGGAUUCAAGUACGCAGUAACGCAGUAAGCAUACCACCUGGGAAGUACGUUCGCCAGAAUGAAACUCAAAGAAUUGACGGGGGCCGCACAAGCGGUGGAGCAUGUGGCUUAUUCGAUGCAACGCGAAGAACCUUACCCGGGCUAAAUCCUGAUUUGAUACCCCGAAACGGGUAGUUCUCUUCGGAGCGGUCAGAAAGGUGCUGCAUGGCUGUCGUCAGCUCGUGCCGUGAGGUGUUGCCUUAAGUGGCGCAACGAGCGCAACCCCUAUGGUUAGUUACCAGCACGUAAAGGUGGGGACUCUAGCCAGACUGCCUACGCAAGUAGUGAGGAAGGUGGGGACGACGUCAAGUCAUCAUGGCCCUUAUGUCCGGGGCUGCACACGUGCUACAAUGGACGGUACAGAGGGAAGCCACCCAGCGAUGGGGCGCAGAUCUCGAAAGCCGUUCCCAGUUCGGAUUGGAGUCUGCAACUCGACUCCAUGAAGGUGGAAUCGCUAGUAAUCGCGUAUCAGCAACGACGCGGUGAAUACGUUCCCGGGCCUUGUACACACCGCCCGUCAAGCGAUGGAAGUCAGGAGUACCUGAUGUCGCCGUGCCAACCCUUCGGGGAAGCAGGUGCCUAGGGUAAGCUUGGUAACUGGCGCUAAGUCGUAACAAGGUAAC
rnacentral:rRNA from 1 species